rnacentral:rRNA from 1 species
GACGAACGCUGGCGGCGUGCCUAAUACAUGCAAGUCGAACGCAGUGGGGACGGGUGAGUAACACGUGGGUAACCUCCCAUCAGAGGGGAUAACACUUGGAAACAGGUGCUAAACCGAUACUGAUGGAUGGACCCGCGGUGCAUUAGCUAGUUGGUGAGGUAACGGCUCACCAAGGCCACGAUGCAUAGGCUGCCUGGGAGGGGGAAUGGCCAAACUGGGGAUGGGACAGGGCCAAGACUCCAAGGGGGGGCGCAGUGGGGGAUCUGUCGGAAAGGAACGAAAGCUGAACGAGCAAAGGCGGGGGAGGGAAGAAAGUUUUCGGAAUCGAAAAAUCUGUUGUAUGAGGAGCGGUAUCUAACCAGAAAGGGACGGCUAACUACGUGCCAGCAGCCGCGGUAAUUC